CCAAGAUGAGCAGCACUGUGAAAUGGAAUUGUGGAAUCAUGGGACAAAAGUUUCUGAUACACAGAAUUAUUGAAAAAACCCUAAUAUUACAAUAUAAUCAGAUAAAAUACAGGAAUCAGCCUCAGUGUGACAGAUGUUCUUGAUGGAAAUGAGAUAAAGCUUUAACAUUUAAAAAUGAUUUUAUUUCUAAAUGUAAGAAAAACAACAGACAUUUUUUUUACAGCCAGACUCAGCGUGACAAAAAGGACUGCAGAGAGUCCACAUCAGUCCAUCGUGAAGACCAUGAUAAGCUGCUCGUCACUGGAAUAUUCACACAAAUGAAAUAAGAACAACACAAUGAGGCUAAAUAGAAAAGUGAACUUUCCUGAGGAGUUUUCAGAUGCAACAAAUUGUUCUGGAGAUGCUGUUUUAACCAUAGGUGCUUCCACUGCUCUGAUUUUAACUGGUAGAUGUUAACAUGUUUGACAUCAGCCUGAAAACUCCUGCAAUCUGAGCCGAGGUUCAGUGAAAACCUCCUCCACUCUGGUAACCAAUAUCUCUGGAGACUAAGCAAUGAAAAAAAAUGCUUGCUGCAGCACCACCUGGUGGUGAAAUUCCAAGAGGGUGUACGCACGUUUAUCUUCAAUCUUUGAAGAGUUACAUCGCUCAAGAAUAACCCCUCGCCUGCUCAACUAUGUAGGCAAUCAGAGAGGAACACGACAGAGCAACUUGUGCUGUUUGGAGAAUAUACAGGAAAAUCAAAAUGAUACAAAAUCAAGUUCAAUGUUUGUCCCGGGAGUCUGCAGAGAAACUAAUUUUUCUUCUGCACCAGUAAAUAAAAAAAAAAAAAACAGAAGCUGCUGAGUCUGAACGUCCAACCCUGGAGUGACUCAUUCUUUGUUUUCUUUUAUUCAUGGUCUGUGAGAGAAUAAAAUGUACAUUUAAGUUUUCCAUAUCUUGUACAGCAGCUCACUUUUUUUUCAUUCAUUCUUUCACUCUACAACAGAAGCAGGUUGACAUGUUGAAGCAACUUUACUCCUCCGUGAUUCGCUGAAGACCUCAACGUAAAACAAGACAUUUAACGUUCAGCCUGCUGCAGAGAGACUUGGAGUAAACCGAACGAGACUCCACGUUAAAACCCAACAAAACAUCCAAGUGAGAGCUGAAGAUGGAGGUUCAGAUGCUUCCAUCCAGUCUGAGAGGAAAGUUCAGGUGAGCAGAGUCUGCAGGGACUGGAACAAGAAGACGACAGCUAAAAGAGCUUCUACAACAACAUAAUAUGAGGCGAAUAUUAAAUUAGCUGAUGUAAAGCUAAUGUUAUGUUAGGUAACGUAAAUCAAUGAUGCAUUAGCUAGUAUAAACCAGUGAUAAGUUAGCAGAUAUAAAGCUAAUGUUAUAUUAACUGAUGUUAAGCUAACGUUACACAACAUAAUAUGAGGCGAACAUUAAAUUAGCUGAUGUAAAGCUAAUGUUAUGUUAGGCAACGUAAAUCAAUGACGCAUUAGCUACUGUAAUAUAAACCAGUGAUAAGUUAGCAGAUAUAAAGCUAAUGUUACAUUAGGUAGUGCAAACCAAUGAUACAUUAGCUGAUAUAAAACCAUCGCUUAAGUUAGCAGAUAAAAAGCUAACAUUACAUUGUCAGUGGUACAGCCAGCUAAUAAUUGUCUUUUUAAUAUUUAAUGAAAGAUAUUUUUUGAGUAAGA
ensembl:lncRNA